AUGAUUCUGGUUGCAAACCAAGUUGGAUGAGAAAUCAAAUUCAAUAGUUAGGUUCAAUGUUGACCUUGUGGGAAAAUUUGAUUCGGCUCUCAUCCAGUUUGGUUCGUGAGCAGAAUUAGGGAGAUAAUUUAGUUUGUGAACAAAGGUAGCACUUACACCAUAUUGAAUCCAUAGCAUUUGUGCGAGAUUCAAGGCAGGGAAGCUCAUAUGUUCCCCUUGUGACAUCACCAUCAUUCUGUCCCUCUGUACCCCUUGUGACUCCUAAUCAACUCACAGACACCUCAGAGGGCCAUCCAUGCCCCCACCGGUAAGCACCAUCUGUCAUGUCCAUGCUACAAGUUUCGACCCAUUUGGUCUCAUCUGGGAAGCCCCUGAUUAAAUUCUCUCUGAAGCAUUGGAGCUGCAGAUUUUAAGGUCCUAAUUCUUUUCUGCUUCUUAAACUGAGCCAGAAUUGUCAAGUGAGAACCAAUGAUAUGUGGGUGGCCAUCCCAUUAGCUCUUUGACAGAGACAAGGACAGCUGGGCUGCAAAGGGAGAAAAUGAUGCAAACAGAGAGAAAGUGUGAUAAGACAUCAAGUGACUGCCUGGGCUCCAAAGGCUUAUCAGCGUCUGCUCCUGGUGCUUGAGAGUCCUGGCUGUUCUUCCGGCCCUCAGCUACUGUUUAUUUCAAUGAUAAACUCCUCUUUGUUUUUUGUUUCAGUUUUUUUGUAGGUCAUGAUAAUUGUACCAAAAACAAAAACAAGUUUGAAAUAGCUACACUGACCAAGAUCAUCUGUGGGCAUCAGUGGGCAAUUCCAGAAUGUGGGAGAAUGCAGUGGGUCAAAGAGGAAUUGGGUUCAUCGCAGAAGAUGCCCGCAAGGGAGGGUUGCUCCCUUCAGAAACUUCAAGGAAGGAUACCACAGAUUGCCUGAAUAAUGGAACACAGGGGAUGAGGAAUUCCUCAUUUGCAAUCUGAAAUUUCAUCUCUGAAAUUUGUGACUAGAAUUCAGCUGAGCUCAACUCUGCCUGCGAAUGCAGAUGAAGAAUUCAAUCCUUCACUUAUUCAUUCAUCCAUCCCUUCACUUAAUAAAGUGUUUAUAAGGCAGUAUUACACCGAGAAUUCUAGGACUGAAUUUCCUUGAC
rnacentral:lncRNA from 1 species